ensembl:lncRNA
GGAUAGUUCAGGAUUUGGGCUGCUUUUUAUUAUGGGCAGUCCUUUCACUCGGAUGCCCACUUCCCACUGGACUGUACAUGUGAUGGCUGGCUGGCAUGAUUUGCUGUUGGUGAUAAGGCGGUCAGGGUGAAUUUGCAGGGCUAUGGUCGGCUCUCUGUGAGCUCAACGUUUAGAUUUGCUCUGUAUGGUUUGUACCCUGAAUAAUCUAGAUAAUUGUAAAAAGUAGAGGUUUUGUAUUGAAUGAUUCCAGGAUUUUAGGUUUAAAGUUGUUGUGGGACGUACAUGGUAGUUUGGUUCUUCGUAUUGUUUUGAGUGAUAUAACUUGUACACACUGGGUGCAUAAUAAUGUAAAGGUACACUGAAUAGUAUUAAUGACCAACAGCAACAAACAGAUCUCCUCAAGGUAAGUCUGUUGGCUGUGUUUUAAUGAAGACCAUCGCUGGACUUCAGGAUCUUCCUCCGUUCAGCUCAAGGUGAGGCGCUGGUUCGGUUUUUUCUUUGGUUGGUUCCGGCCGGAAUGUUCGGAUUCCAGUCGGACGGGUUGUGCUUCCCGCCGUGGAAGGUUUUGAGUGCGGUCACUUGAUUUAGUCCCAAUGGUUAGCAUAGAACGUUGUAGUCUUGACAACCAUAAGAAACCUCCUGGCAGUUAGUCCCCUGAGGGACCUGGCGGAACGUUCUUGAUGUAUUUGAGUAACCUCGAGGCGGUGCCAACAAACUAUUUUUCAGUCGGUUUCCAUUGGGAAUUAUUGCCCCUAUCUUAAACAACUUAAGUUUGAUAUUAAAUACAUACCGAGACGUACGUUGUACAAUAUGCUGAUAAUUUCCGAUGGUUGCGCCGUACUUUUAACCACGAUGACGUUGCGGGACUCUCAUUGCGUACAAAACAGCGUUCUACUUGCGGGCCCAUAUUUGACAUCGGGGAAGGCUGAAAAUCAUUUCAUGGUGGAAGAUAAUUUGACAUUUCUUCAACGGAACCCAGCACCUGAAUAUGGCUGAGUAUAUUUGAUUUAAUAUCAAUACUGCUUAGUGUUCUUUGUUACUUCAGCUUUUGUAUGUUCUAAAUAUCUGCUGUCAUUAAUUGCCACAGAAGUUAAACCCUACCCAAUGGAAUGACGUUAAACAACGACUUUGGUGCAGAGUUACCAACUGGAUGAUAUCAAAGCUAAAAUAAUGGCCGUCAUUCCCACAUGUUACAGUAGAAGAUACUCUAGAACUGUACAAGGUUAAAAAGGUAACAUGUAGUUUGUCCCAAGGUGUCUGCCUCCUCACCCAGAGCAAGACCUCCACCUCCUCACCCAGCGCCAGACCUCCACCUCCUGUCAGAAGUCCUCCAGAACAGCUGAAAGGCGAGGCUGAGAGGCUGGGGACCGGAGGCUUGUGGUGCCAGGGUGGACCGGAGACUGAGGCUGGAGACCAGGGGCCUGCAGCACCGGACCAGAGGACCAGGAAUCCAUGGCUGAAGGAGCUGAUGGAGGAGCCGUGCUGAAGGCCCUGGGCUGGUGGAGGAGCUGGUGGAGGGCCUGCCUGGUGAAUGACGUCUGUCGUGGGACCAGGACUCUGUCUGAGGAGAGCUGCUGGAGGAGCUGAGACACUGGAGGACGACGAGGAAUCGACCAACAAGGAUUCCUCAACGUGUUUCUGGAGCGGAGGCGAGCUGACUCGCGGCGUUUGUUCCAGACCAGGACUCUGGCUGAGGAGAGCUGAUGGAGGAGCCAAGACUCUGGAGGACGACAUCACUCCACCAACCAGGAUCCUCAGACAAAUUACGUUUGUAACCAGACCAGGAAUCUGGAGGACUGAUGGAGAAGCCAUACAUCUGGAAGGCAAAUCCUGAGGACCACCAAGACACAUACCAUCAAGGAUUCCUCAUAAAUGUGCAUUAUCUGGACAUAGUGGACUAGACACACCUGAGCUGAACCUCACCUGAUCCUGUUUGGUCGGGGGUAGACGCACCUGAGCUAAACCCGCCCUGAUCCUGACAUCCUGCUGGUCCCGUCUCCUCAGUUCAUCUGAGCCUCGUCCUCCAGAAGACCUGCUGAGCUCAGUAGUCUGAGGCUGAUGGAUCAAUGACCUCCACUGGGAGUGAUCUUCUUGACCCACCAUAUAACUGUGUGCUUCCACACGCCUUUCUCUCACGUCUGUCACUAACCUCACUACUUCACUACUCUCUACUGCUUCCUCUUUCCUUCUUUCUCUGUGGUUCAAACCUUUACACUGAAGGCGCGUCUUCCUGCCCUCAGAGGGUUUAGCGUUAGGGUUGAGAGUCAGGGUUUAGAGUCAGGGACAGAGCUGGUCAGGGAGGACUGCUUUUACACAAACUUCUUCACUUGCUUUCGGAAUGUGGUGUCAUUUUGCAACUAAACUAAACAAACUGGAAAUAAAGGGCUUAAAAAUAAGACAAACUACAUGUUUGUUACCAGACUCGCGCCAUUUGUUCCAGACCAGGACUCUGGCUGAGGAGAGCUGAUGGAGGAGCCAAGACUCUGGAGGACGACAUCACUCCACCAACCAGGAUCCUCACCAGGAAUCUGGAGGACUGAUGGAGAAGCCAUACAUCUGGAAGGCAAAUCCUGAGGACCACCAAGACUCUACCAUCAAGGAUUCCUCAUAAAUGUGCAUCAUCUGGACAUAGUGGACUAGACACACCUGAGCUGAACCUCACCUGAUCCUGUUUGGUCGGGGGUAGACGCACCUGAGCUAAACCCGCCCUGAUCCUGACAUCCUGCUGGUCCCUUCUCCUCAGUUCAUCUGAGCCUCGUCCUCCAGAAGACCUGCUGAGCUCAGCAGUCUGAGGCUGAUGGAUCAAUGACCUCCAGUGGGAGUGAUCUUCUUGAACCACCAUAUAACCGUGUGCUUCCACACGCCUUUCCCUCACGUCUGUCACUAACCUCACUACUUCACUACUCUCUACUGCUUCCUCUUUCCUUCUUUCUCUGUGGUUCAAACUUUUACACUGAAGGCGCGUCUUCCAGCCCUCAGAGGGUUGAGAGUCAGGGUUGAGAGUCAGGGACAGAGCUAGUCAGGGAGGACUGCUUUUACACAAACUUCUUCACUUGCUUUCGGAAUGGUGGUGUCAUUUUGCAAAGAUUCAUUUGGGAAAAUGUUUUCCUCUGCUUUCCUUUACAAAAUUGUAUUAAAAUUCUGUCAAGUGUUUUUG